CGACGUCCCUGCACCAGCGCCAUGGCUCCCCAAAAGGUUCUGUUCGCCCUCGUGAUGGUCUUCCUGUUGGCUUUCGCAAACGGAAACCCUGAGGCUGAACCGGGAUACCGGAGCUAUGGCUACGGCUACGGCGGAGGAUACGGACACAGGAGCUACGGAUACGGACACGGCGGCGGGUAUGGCCAAAGGAGCUAUGGUUAUGGCCAUAGGAGUUAUGGCUAUGGAUACGGUUAUCACUAGCAGGCGACGAGCUUCCUUCCCGGCGAUCUCCAUUGUGAACAUUAGAUCUAAAUAACUUUUUAAAAAAUGGAGAGAAUGAAAUUAAAGUCGAAUGGUUCACAGGGGCUAAAUAUACUUAUAUUAUGAAAAGAAAAACGUCUUAUCCUUUCACCUGUUUUUUUUUUUUUUUUUUUUUUUCAUUAUGUUCUAUAGUAAUUUUCAUAUAGACCUAUAAGUAGAUAUAUUACCUGAAUAUGAAAUAGAAAAUCACCUUUUAUAUCAGUCAAAUUUUAUAUGCCUUGC